UACAGAGGGUGCAAGCGUUGCUCGGAAUCAUUGGGCGUAAAGGGCAAGUAGGUGGUCUCAUUUGUCUAGGGUGAAAGCCCGGGGCUCAACUCCGGAUCCGGACCCCAAACUGCUAGACUCGAGAGUAUCAGAGGAGAGCGGAAUUCCCGGUGUAGCGGUAAUAUGCGUAGAUAUCGGGAGGAACACCAGUGGCGAAGGCGGCUCUCUGGGGUAUUUCUGACGCUGAGGCACGAAAGCCAGGGGAGCGAACGGG
rnacentral:rRNA from 1 species